rnacentral:lncRNA from 1 species
GACAGAGUGAGACCCUGUCUCAAAAAAAAGAAAAUGCCUCCCACCCCAUAGCUCCAUCUUCAGACUCAGCCACUUAUCUCUGGGGAGUCGUUCACGCCUACUGAGGAGCAUGUGUUGGUGGUGCGCCUGCUGCUGAAGCACCUGCACGCCUUUGCCAACAGCCUGAAGCCAGAGCAGGCCUCACUCUCCGCCCACUCCCACGCCACCAGCCC